UUUGAUGCAGCUUGGACGUGAUGCUGGGGAGAAGCUGAUCCGUGGAUCGGGAUCACUGGGAGGAAUCGCGGAGCGGACGCCGGAUGCUGCUAUCACGGGGACGCGUUGAAGUGAAUGCCGACGGGAAGGAGGGGAUGGCGGGCUGAGGCGGAGGCGGAGGCUCCGUGGGACCACUGCUAGCAUCACGGGAGGCUUGGAUUCCAUGGGAGAGGGGGCUAGCUGCGGGAUGAUGGCGUUGAAGACGGGAGGAGGCGUUCUCGGCUUGGAUCCGGGAGGGGGAAGAGGAUGAUGGCUGGCUUCACGGAAGGGUGAGACGCACGGAUGCUUCACAUGCGUGGGAGCUUGAUCUGAUCAUGAGAUGGACGGCUGUGAUGACGGUGUGAUCCGUGGGAUGCUAGGAGGACUCGUUGAUGAUGCGGACGGAGUGGAUUUAUUUGGGAUGUUGAUGAUUGGCUGGGCAGAUGGCCGAGAAGGAAAUGAUCGUGAGGCCUUGAUGCGGGACUGAUUUGGUAGGUGACCUGAUGGACGGUGCAGGAUUUCAUGCUUGCAUGGCAGCUGGGGAAUUCGUUGAGCUCGAGCUGCCAGGCAUUGGGCUCAAACCCAAUGUUAUUGGGUCUCUUUGACUCCUUGCACUCAAACACAAAUACAAUGUUAAUUAAUUAAUUUUAUCAUUAAAAAUUAACUAUAAUACUAAUUAAGGUAGUACAAUGAUUGCACUUUUGUGCUCUCAUCAGUUAUCCAUAACCUCCAUCUUGUAGGGAUCCACGAUAGAAGGACUGUAUCACAUGAUAACUGCACCUAGAGGUUCAUUAUUCUAUUCUGCUGGGUAGCCACUACAUGCUGCUAGGUGUCACUAGUAGAUGGUGGGACUCACAGGGAUUAUCUCGAUGAUCGAUUAACCCUAAUGAGUAGAGUUGGAAUCGUUCCGACCCAUUGAAAGGAGUUUUCAAUGAUAUUGUGAUAGAGACCACAAUAUAUCUCACUACCAGUCAGAAUAGAACCUAUGGGGUCACACACACUAGAAGUAUUGACCGAUCCGAUAGUUGAAUCGUGAUUAGGAAUC
rnacentral:lncRNA from 1 species